UAAAUGAAAUCCAAUUUUCUCAUCUUUGCCAAAAAAUACAUCUCCGAAGCAAAACUGAACAAAUGUCUUCAUAACUGGAAUUGAUUUACAAUUAACCUCCUAUGAGCCAACCUCCUUAGGAUAUGACCUGGUGUCCACUUACAAGAGGUGUGCAUACCAGUGUACAGUUUUUUGCUCCAUUGGCAGACAUUAAAUGCAAUGUGUGGUGCAUAUUGUGUUGAAAUCUUGUUCAAUUGCCCACAAGUGUAUCAAAAUGAUGCUGCUCCUUGCCACGAAUUCAAGAGCGGAGACUUGUCAUUGUUGUUUUCAAUUUUAACUUCCUUUCAUUCAUCAAUACAGAAAGCUUGAUUUAAAUAAAUUUACUCCAUUUAUUCCUGAAA